rnacentral:rRNA from 1 species
GAUGAACGCUAGCGGCAGGCCUAACACAUGCAAGUCGAGGGGUAGAACACUUCGGUGUUUGAGACCGGCGCACGGGUUCGUAACGCGUAUGCAAUCUGCCUUACACUAAGGGAUAGCCCAGAGAAAUUUGGAUUAAUACCUUAUAGUAUAUUGAUGUGGCAUCACAUUAUUAUUAAAGCUUGACUGGUGUAAGAUGAGCAUGCGUCCCAUUAGGUAGUUGGUCAGGUAACGGCAUACCAAGGCGAUGAUGGGUAGGGGACCUGAGAGGGAGGUCCCCCAAACGGGUACGGAGACACGGACCAGACUCCUACGGGAGGGCGCAGUGAGGAAUAUUGGUCAAUGGUGGCAAGACUGAACCAGCCAUGCCGCGUGCAGGAUGAAGCAUCUAUGGUGUGUAAACUGCUUUUGUACGGGAAGAAACACCUCUUCGUGAAGAGGCUUGACGGUACCGUAAGAAUAAGGAACGGCUAACUCCGUGUCAGCAGCCGCCGUAA